AUUGAACGCUGGCGGCAGGCCUAACACAUGCAAGUCGAACGGUAGCACAGAGGAGCUUGCUCCUUGGGUGACGAGUGGCGGACGGGUGAGUAAUGUCUGGGAAACUGCCCGAUGGAGGGGAUAACUACUGGAAACGGUAGCUAAUACCGCAUAACGUCGCAAGACCAAAGAGGGGGACCUUCGGGCCUCUUGCCAUCGGAUGUGCCCAGAUGGGAUUAGCUAGUAGGUGGGGUAACGGCUCACCUAGGCGACGAUCCCUAGCUGGUCUGAGAGGAUGACCAGCCACACUGGAACUGAGACACGGUCCAGACUCCUACGGGAGGCAGCAGUGGGGAAUAUUGCACAAUGGGCGCAAGCCUGAUGCAGCCAUGCCGCGUGUAUGAAGAAGGCCUUCGGGUUGUAAAGUACUUUCAGCGAGGAGGAAGGCGUUGUGUAAUAACGCAACGAUUGACGUU
rnacentral:rRNA from 1 species